rnacentral:tRNA from 1 species
GCGGAAGUAGUUCAAUGGUAGAAUUCAGGUCUGUGGAACCUGAGACGCGGGUUCAAUUCCCGCUUUUCGCC